AUAAAAUGGAAGUUCCUUUUUGACAUGGAAAAGAGUCCUAGAGUAGGACAGGUUUGGAUGGUGUUGUGAUCUCGAAGACUGGAGUACAAAUACCAGUUCUGGUGAUAGAGUGAAGGACCAUUGGAGAUAUACCACAUGAGGCUAUAACUCUGUGAACUUUGAAAAUAUGGAAGAGCCACCCCAUAGCUCCUUGUAAUUUGCCUGGACUUAUGGUUUUACUGGUUUGGGGAACUCCUAGUGUGGAAAUUUCUUCAAUGGAAGCAGAUUCACAACUGGUGCUUCCCCAUCUCACAGAUUCUUGCUGAAAGAGAAGAGUUUUGGGGCCUUCUGGGUAAACAUGGCAGCAGUAUAGAAUCAGGAUCCUUCCUCCCCUCAUCAC
rnacentral:lncRNA from 1 species